rnacentral:rRNA from 1 species
GUAGGAUAGAGGCCUACCAUGGUGGUAACGGGUAACGGGGUGUUAGGGCACGACACCGGAGAGGGAGCCCGAGAAACGGCUACCACAUCCAAGGAUGGCAGCAGGCGCGCAAAUUACCCAAUCCCGACACGGGGAGGUAGUGACAAUAAAUAACAAUACGGGGUUCUUUCGGAUCUCGUAAUUGGAAUGAGUACAAUUUAAAUCUCUUAACGAGGAACAAUUGGAGGGCAAGUCUGGUGCCAGCAGCCGCGGUAAUUCCAGCUCCAAUAGCGUAUAUUAAAGUUGUUGCAGUUAAAAAGCUCGUAGUUGAAUUUCGGGAUCAAAUUGUUGGUCGUGCUUCGGUACGCACUGGCAUUAUUGGUUCCUACCUUCUGAAGAACCGCGAUGUCAUUAAUUUGGUGUCGUGGGGAAUCAGGACUGUUACUUUGAAAAAAUUAGAGUGUUUAAAGCAGGCUUACGCUUGAAUACAUUAGCAUGGAAUAAUGAAAUAGGACGUUUGAUUCUAUUUUGUUGGUUUCUAGGAUCGACGUAAUGAUUAAUAGGGAUAGUUGGGGGCAUUAGUAUUCAAUUGUCAGAGGUGAAAUUCUUGGAUUUAUUGAAGACUAACUACUGCGAAAGCAUUUGCCAAGGAUGUUUUCAUUAAUCAAGAACGAAAGUUAGGGGAUCGAAGACGAUCAGAUACCGUCGUAGUCUUAACCAUAAACUAUGCCGACUAGGAAUCAGACGAUGUUAAUUUUUUAAUGACUCGUUUGGCACCUUACGGGAAAC